UAUAGUAAUAACAAUAAUGAUAAUAAAUUUCGAAUGUGACUAAAGUGUCUAAAUAUAGCUACAAAGAACAGUACAUUUUCUCUUUCUCACACUCGUGAUUUAGCUACAGGUUUUAAAGGCGAAAUAGCACAAACUUCCUUCUAACAGCCGAGGUUGAUAUAGCGAUAAGGACCUUUAAACAGGCGUGCUGUGGCAGGUGUUCAGUCUGGACGUGCUCCUCUAAAGCGCAGUGUUGGACUAGAGAAGAUGAGCUGAUAUUGAGGUGUUCGCUCACUACCGUGAUUGAUUUAUGGAUGGGUUGAAUCUCAUGACCACAACAAUGUCUACCAGUAAAUCUGCCGCCAGAAGGGCAAUUCUACAGACCUCCAGGACUAGGUGGAACAGGACGGAUAACUUUGAUAUUGUUCCUAUUAUCAGUUCGGA